rnacentral:rRNA from 1 species
GUCUACGGCCGUGCCAUCCUGAACAAACCCUAUUCCGUCUGAUCUCGGAAGCUAAGCAGGGUUGGGCCUCGUUUGUACUUGGAUGGGAGACCAUUUAGGAAGACCAGGUGCUGGAGGCA